rnacentral:rRNA from 1 species
AACGAACGCUGGCGGCAUGCUUAACACAUGCAAGUCGAACGAGACCUUCGGGUCUAGUGGCGCACGGGUUCGUAACGCGUGGGAAUCUGCCCUUUGCUACGGAAUAACUCAGAGAAAUUUGUGCUAAUGCCGUAUAAUGUCGAAAGACCAAAGGUUUAUCGGCAAAGGAUGAGCCAGCGUAGGAUUAGCUAGUUGGUGAGGUAAAGGAUCACCAAGGCGACGAUCCUUAGCUGGUCUGAGAGGAUGAUCAGCCAUCCUGGGACUGAGACACGGCCAAGAACACUACGGGAGGCAGCAGUGGGGAAUAUUGGACAAUGGGCGCAAGCAUGAUCCAGAAAUGCCGAGUGAGUGAUGAAGGCCUUAGGGUUGUAAAGCUCUUUUACCAGGGAUGAUAAUGACAGUACCUGGAGAAUAAGCUCCGGCUAACUCCGUUCCAGCCGCCGCGGUAA